rnacentral:rRNA from 1 species
CCUACGGGAGGCAGCAGUAGGGAAUCUUUCACAAUGGGCGAAAGCCUGAUGGAGCAACGCCGCGUGCAGGAUGAAGGCCUUCGGGUUGUAAACUGCUUUUAUAAGCGAGAAAUAUGAUGGUAACUUAUGAAUAAGGAUCGGCUAACUACGUGCCAGCAGCCGCGGUCAUACGUAGGAUCCGAGCAUUAUCCGGAGUGACUGGGUGUAAAGAGUUGCGUAGGUGGCAUAAUAAGUAGCUAGUGAAAUCUGGUGGCUCAACCAUUCAGACUAUUAGCUAAACUGUUAAUCGCGAGACCGUUAGGGGUAACUGGAUUUUCUAGUGUAGGAGUGAAAUCCGUAGAUAUUAGAAGGAACACCAAUAGCGUAGGCAGGUUACUAGGACGGUUCUGACACUAAUGCAUGAAAGCGUAGGGAUCAAACGGGAUUAGAUACCCCAGUAGUC